CAGGUUUUGAUAAAUCUCCCCCAGUGUUUCAGCCAAUCAGAGAGCAGCACUGCUCAAAUAGAACUCCCAGGAGGUAACAGCGUGUCACACAUGUGAUGUCAUAACCAUUGUCCACCAGAGAGCAGCACUGAGCAGAUAUAACACUGCUCCUGCUCAUUCUUCACCAGUGAGGGGCCGGUGCUGGACACUGUAGGGACGCGGGAAUGUGAAGUCAAAAACAUGACUGUGACUGAUGCACUAUUUCCAGCAUGUGGAGUAGCAUUUCCGGACUAUGAAGAAGUUGGAUGAUGGCCUAGAUUUCCGGACUUACAGCAAGACGUUGGAUGAAGGCCUAGAUUUCCGGACCUACAGCGAGAAGUUGGAUGAAGGCACAGCCCCUCAAAUCACGCACAUACACAGACACAUUUGCCCAAAUUCUAGAGGUAACCUUCUUUAGUAUGCCCAGAGGAAGGGCAAUACAGUAGCCAUGGAUUCCCUACAGGUUUCCUCCCCUCUGGAGGUUUUUCCUGUCCUGAGUUAGUUACUGUACGCUCUUUGUGAGUGAUGGGAGGUUACAAAAAAUCCCUACACAAACAUUUUAAUAAAUAAUAAAUAAAGUUUCCCUUUUUUAAAC